ensembl:lncRNA
AAGCAGUCAGUCUUAACGGAUUUCUGAAUCUAUCUACAGAGUCUAUGCUCUUGAACUCUAAAAAGUGUCCUAAAUGUUUUGCCUGCUGUUGCACAGCAUUUUUUUUCGUCAAUCUGCCUUCCAAGAAGGACUACCAACGCCUCUCCUUGGUUUGGCUCUGGCCAGCAGCAGGUCCUUGUUGGAACCAGCUGGAGCUGGCUCUGAUCUGACAUGCGGCAGCUGCUGGGCUCUGCUCACAGAGGACACCCCUGCUACCAAAACCUUGCCAGCCUUUUCUGGUGAAAUAAGACUCCCUGGAAGUGCACAUGAGAGCUAGCUGCACGCUUCUGACACCAUCACUGGAAGAGCUUGCAGUUUCUUCUGCAGACAUGCCUUUGCCAAAGAAAGAUGGUAGAAGACUGCUGAGACUCCUGGCAAGAGAGACAGGCAGCAAAAGUUCAGACAAGUCUGUUAGUUUUAAGUCAUUUAAUCUCUUUAUUGUCAACUUGUUGUGCAUUACUGCACAACACACAGACUGUGAUGCUUGCGUCUUUGUUCUUCAGGUUGGAGUCUGUGGUUUUGAACCCUUGCACAUUCUCUGCCAGAGAAGAAGCUCCUUCCUGGUUUGGAUAUCUUUGAGAAUGUUUUUGAUUCCUGUGGAUUUCAUUGAUUGCUUUAAUUCUGGAAGCCACAGAACUGAUUUUCUUUUUGGGCUGUCUCAGUUGCUCCCUCAUCUGCAGCUCCAUAGGCUACGGGAGCAUCUGAAUAGAUUUCACCUUGUUGACACUUUGGAUUUUCUCCUUCAAAGACAUAUGGAACUGGCAGCCCAGCAGCUCCUUGGUGAUGUGGUCGUCUUACAGAAUGUGCAUGGUUCUUGAUGAUUGCAUUAAUGGCUCUAAUUUUGGAAGCAGCAGACGGCAUGGUGCUUUUGGCCUUGCGUAGUGCUUCCUUCCUCUGUGCCCUUGGAAUUGUCUGGUCCAGAUAGCCCUCACCUUUUGGAUACUUGUCAUCAGUUUCCCUCAAGUUGAGAGUUUCUGUGCAUCUCUGAGAAACUGGUGACAGAAAAUGUAGACUUUUAGAGACUGAAAACAGUGAAAGAAGAGGCUGCCUUCAGCAGAGAAGGAAAGGAAAAGCAGCAGCGUUUGAGUUCUACUUUCAGUCGUGUUUUUGACAUAGUGGAAUUACUUGGUGAAUUACAGGCUGUACUAAAUACUGCGUUGUGUACCCCUGAUCGCUAAGGUCCAUAUAUUCCAACCACUUUCACAGGUUCCAUUUUUAAUCACAACUACAUAAUAGAAAUUCAGACUAUAUUGGAUGGACUGAUGUCUAAUCUUACAGACUUCUGAUUUACACAGGAAGAUACCUUAAACUAAAAGCACAGACCUUGCCAUCAUUAUAUGUCACCGAGAAGAGCCUGGCUCCGUCACCCUCUACGUUCAACCUUUACAUAUUUGUAAACAUUAGUAAGGUCACCCCUCAGUCUCCUCUAACUAAAGAGACCUAGCUCCCUCAGCCUUUCCUUGAAAAGGAGGCGCUCCACUCCCUUAUUCAUCCUCGUGGCUCUGCACUGGACUCUCUCAAGCAGUUCCCCCUUCUUGAACUGGGGGGCCAAGAACUGGAUGUAGUAUUGCAGAUGUGGUCUUACUAGGGCAGAGUAGAGGGAAAGUAGAACCUCUCUCGACCACACCCCGGCUAAUACACCCCCAGAUGCCAUUGGCCUUCUUGGCCACAAGGGCACAGUGCUGGCUCAUGGUCAUCUGGCUCUCCACCAGGACCACCAUGUCACUUCCCCUUCGCUGCAGUCCAGCAGGGCAGUCCCCAACUUAUCCCGGUGUAUGGGGUUGUUCUUGCCCCACAGAAUCACAGAAUUUCUAGGUUGCAAGAGACCUCAAGAUCAUCAAGUCCUACCUCUAACCUAACACUAACAGUCCCCACUAAACCAUAUCCCUAAGCUCUACAUCUAAACGUCUUUUAAAGACUUCCAGGGAUGGUGACUCCACAACCUCCCUGGGCAGCCUGUUCCAGUGCCUAACAACCCUUUCAGUAAAGAAGUUCUUCCUAACAUCUAACCUAAAACUCCCCUGGCGCAACAUAAGCCCAUUCCCCCUCGUCCUGUCACCAGGCACGUGGGAAAACAGGCCAACCCCCACCUCACUACAGCCUCCUUUAAGGUAUGUGUAGAGAGCAAUAAGGUUGCCCCUGAGCCUCCUCUUCUCCAGGCUGAACAAGCCCAGCUCCCUCAGCCACUCCUCGUAGGACUUGUUCUCCAGGCCCCUCACCAGCUUCGUCGCCCUUCUCUGGACCCGCUCAAGCACCUCCAUGUCCUUCUUAUAGCGAGGGG